GAUGAACGCUGGCGGCGUGCCUAAUACAUGCAAGUCGAGCGAACAGAUGAGGAGCUUGCUCCUCUGACGUUAGCGGCGGACGGGUGAGUAACACGUUGAUAACCUACCUAUAAGACUGGGAUAACUUCGGGAAACCGGAUCUAAUACCGGAUAAUAUAUUGAACCGCAUGGUUCAAUAGUGAAAGACGGUUUUGCCGUCGCUUAUAGAUGGAUCCGCGCCGCAUUAGCUAGUUGGUAAGGUAACGGCUUACCAAGGCAACGAUGCGUAGCCGACCUGAGAGGGUGAUCGGCCACACUGGAACUGAGACACGGUCCAGACUCCUACGGGAGGCAGCAGUAGGGAAUCUUCCGCAAUGGGCGAAAGCCUGACGGAGCAACGCCGCGUGAGUGAUGAAGGUCUUCGGAUCGUAAAACUCUGUUAUUAGGGAAGAACAAAUGUGUAAGUAACUAUGCACGUCUUGACGGUACCUAAUCAGAAAGCCACGGCUAACUACGUG
rnacentral:rRNA from 1 species